rnacentral:rRNA from 1 species
CGAACGGCAGCACGGACUUCGGUCUGGUGGCGAGUGGCGAACGGGUGAGUAAUGUAUCGGAACGUACCUUUCAGUGGGGGAUAACGUAGCGAAAGUUACGCUAAUACCGCAUAUUCUGUGAGCAGGAAAGCAGGGGAUCGCAAGACCUUGCGCUGAUUGAGCGGCCGAUAUCAGAUUAGCUAGUUGGUGAGGUAAAGGCUCACCAAGGCGACGAUCUGUAGCGGGUCUGAGAGGAUGAUCCGCCACACUGGAACUGAGACACGGUCCAGACUCCUACGGGAGGCAGCAGUGGGGAAUUUUGGACAAUGGGGGCAGCCCUGAUCCAGCCAUGCCGCGUGAGUGAAGAAGGCCUUCGGGUUGUAAAGCUCUUUCGGCCGGGAAGAAAUCGCAUGGGUUAAUACCCUGUGCGGAUGACGGUACCGGCAUAAGAAGCACCGGCUAACUACGUGCCAGCAGCCGCGGUAAUACGUAGGGUGCGAGCGUUAAUCGGAAUUACUGGGCGUAAAGCGUGCGCAGGCGGUUUUUUAAGACAGGCGUGAAAUCCCCGGGCUCAACCUGGGAACUGCGCUUGUGACUGGAAGGCUAGAGUAUGGCAGAGGGGGGUGGAAUUCCACGUGUAGCAGUGAAAUGCGUAGAGAUGUGGAGGAACACCAAUGGCGAAGGCAGCCCCCUGGGCCAAUACUGACGCUCAUGCACGAAAGCGUGGGUAGCAAACAGGAUUAGAUACCCUGGUAGUCCACGCCCUAAACGAUGUCAACUAGGUGUUGGGUGGGUAAAACCAUUUAGUACCGGAGCUAACGCGUGAAGUUGACCGCCUGGGGAGUACGGCCGCAAGGUUAAAACUCAAAGGAAUUGACGGGGACCCGCACAAGCGGUGGAUGAUGUGGAUUAAUUCGAUGCAACGCGAAAAACCUUACCUACCCUUGACAUGUCCAGGAGCCUGAAGAGAUUUGGGUGUGCCCGAAAGGGAACUGGAACACAGGUGCUGCAUGGCUGUCGUCAGCUCGUGUCGUGAGAUGUUGGGUUAAGUCCCGCAACGAGCGCAACCCUUGUCGUUAAUUGCCAUCAUUUAGUUGGGCACUUUAACGAGACUGCCGGUGACAAACCGGAGGAAGGUGGGGAUGACGUCAAGUCCUCAUGGCCCUUAUGGGUAGGGCUUCACACGUCAUACAAUGGUCGGUACAAAGGGUUGCCAAGCCGCGA